GCCCAGGUAGCUCAGUUGGUAGAGCAGCGGACUGAAAAUCCGCGUGUCACUGGUUCGACUCCGGUCCUGGGCA
rnacentral:tRNA from 1 species